CUUGGUCAUUUAGAGGAAGUAAAAGUCGUAACAAGGUCUCCGUUGGUGAACCAGCGGAGGGAUCAUUACCGAGUUUACAACUCCCAAACCCCUGUGAACAUACCUUUAUGUUGCCUCGGCGGAUCAGCCCGCGCCCCGUAAAACGGGACGGCCCGCCGCAGGAACCACAAAACUCUGAUAUUAGUGUAACUUCUGAGUCUAAAAAACAAAUAAAUCAAAACUUUCAACAACGGAUCUCUUGGUUCUGGCAUCGAUGAAGAACGCAGCAAAAUGCGAUAAGUAAUGUGAAUUGCAGAAUUCAGUGAAUCAUCGAAUCUUUGAACGCACAUUGCGCCCGCCAGUAUUCUGGCGGGCAUGCCUGUUCGAGCGUCAUUUCAACCCUCAAGCCCCCGGGUUUGGUGUUGGGGAUCGGGCUGUACUCCAGCCCGGCCCCGAAAUCUAGUGGCGGUCUCGCUGCAGCCUCCAUUGCGUAGUAGCUAACACCUCGCAACUGGAACGCGGCGCGGCCAAGCCGUUAAACCCCCAACUUCUGAAUGUUGACCUCGGAUCAGGUAGGAAUACCCGCUGAACUUAAGCAUAUCAAUAAGCGGAGGA
rnacentral:misc_RNA from 1 species